rnacentral:ncRNA from 1 species
GGUUUCUUGUCGGGGUGCCUGGAGUCGCAGGCUGAGAUCGGACAGUUCCGAAUCCCGUUGAACCUGAUCGGGUUAGUACCCGCGUAGGGAACAAGAUGUCCCCGCCG